GACGAACGCUGGCGGCGUGCUUAACACAUGCAAGUCGAACGGAAAGGCCCUGCUUGUGUGGUCUGCUCGAUUGGCGAACGCGUGAGUAACACGUGAGUAACCUGCCCUUGACUUUGGGAUAACUUCAGGUAACUGGGGCUAAUACCGGAUAGGAGCUCCUGCUGCAGUGUGGGGGUUGGAAAGUUGCGGCGGUUGGGGAUGGACUCGCGGCUUAUGAGCUUGUUGGUGGGGUAGUGGCUUACCAAGGCUUUGACGGGUAGCCGGCAUGAGAGGGUGACCGGCGUCAUUGGGACUGAGAUACGGCGCAGACUGGUACGGGGGGCAGCAGUGGCAAAUAUUGCACAGUGGGCGCAAGCGUGAUGCAGAAACGCUGGGGGCGGGAUGACGGUCUUUGGGUUGUAAACAGCUUUAGCCUGUGACGAAGCGUGAGUGACGGUAAUGAGUAAAGAAGCACCGGCUAACUACGUG
rnacentral:rRNA from 1 species